rnacentral:rRNA from 1 species
GUAGGGAAUAUUGCGCAAUGGGGGAAACCCUGACGCAGCGACGCCGCGUGAGUGAUGAAGGCCUUCGGGUCGUAAAGCUCUGUUGCAGGGGAAUAAAAAAAUGAAGGUACCCUGUGAGGAAGGAUCGGCUAACUUCGUGCCAGCAGCCGCGGUAAGACGAGGGAUCCUAGCGUUGCUCGGAAUCAUUGGGCGUAAAGAGGGCGUAGGUGGCUUGGUAAGUCAGGUGUGAAAGCCCAGGGCUCAACCCUGGAAGUGCAUUUGAUACUGCUGAGCUUGAGUGUCGGAGAGGUUACCGGAAUACCUGGUGUAGUGGUGAAAUACGUAGAUAUCAGGUGGAACACCGGAGGAGAAGGCGGGUAACUGGACGAACACUGACACUGAGGCCCGAAAGCGUGGGGAUCAAACAGGAUUAGAUACCCUUGUAGUCC